GGUUGUAACGCCAGUUGCAUAGCCGGGUAGCUAAGUUCGGAAGAGAUAAGCGCUGAAAGCAUCUAAGCGCGAAACUCGCCUGAAGAUGAGACUUCCCUUGCGGUUUAACCGCACUAAAGGGUCGUUCGAGACCAGGACGUUGAUAGGUGGGGUGUGGAAGCGCGGUAACGCGUGAAGCUAACCCAUACUAAUUGCCCGUGAGGCUUGACUCUAU
rnacentral:rRNA from 1 species